CUCAGCAAGGACGUGCAGCAGAGCCAGCUGAUGCCUGAGUGUGAGGAAGUGCACCGGGAUUCGUGGAAAAAAAAAACCUACUUGGCGUUUUUAUGGAGAUGUUGACAUCUUUAUGACGCUGAGCCACCUUGUUCAGGAAGAAGAGGUUUCUGUCAUGUCCCGCAGUGAUGGCUUCAAAAGAAGGUGAAAGAAAGAGACCUAAGGCACUCCACCAGAGGCUCCAACUCCCUAAUGUCCUUCUUUGGAUAAUUUCAUUCAACAAGUUGCAAAUUCACCUGGCCAUCUUCUCAUUCGGCCUAUUUUCUCAUCUCGUACGAGCACUUGAACACGCCAGGGCUCUGACCUCCCGGACACGGUAAGAACUCUGGCUAGUAACCGACUUACCGCAUCCCAACUUGUUUGCCGUAAAGCCCCAAGCAGCCUAAACCCCUUCCUUGAGCUGGAGAAGGAAGACAUCAGCUGAAACAGGAGGCUGCAUUCCUGCUGCUUAAUUAGCACAUCACGCACUUCAAAAUGCCUUUGGUGUCCGUUCUUUUGUUUUCCCUUUGCAGUGAUGGAGAAAUCAAGGGUCUAAGUCAAGAAACAGUAUCAGAACAAAAGUGAUAGCUGUGCACUAGUCACUUGGCGUGUUUUAAGUGUAGCUAGCCUCCUUAAGAUGUUCAUUGAGAAGUUCGAGCAAGGCAAUCCAGUGGUGCACCUGUCUCUUUCAGCUGAUACAAGAAUAAUUAAUUACAUGAAAAUGACUUCCACUGGAGGUUAAUUUAUUUUGGCUGACAGUCACAUACAUACGCAGAUAUGUCUUCGGCUGCAGUCGAAUAGAGCUUUAUUUAGAACAUUU